rnacentral:lncRNA from 1 species
CAGUGCGCGCCUAGCAGUGUCCCAGCCGGGUUCGUGUCGCCAUGGGGCAGAUCGAGUGGGCCAUGUGGGCCAACGAACAGGCGCUGGCGUCCGGCCUGAUCCUCAUCACCGGGGGCAUCGUGGCCACAGCUGGGCGCUUCACCCAGUGGUACUUUGGUGCCUACUCCAUGUAUCCUUCCACCUGAGGCUGGGGUGGGCGGGGAACGCCCAGGGCAGAGCUGGGACACAGGGUGGGCUGUGCACGGGUUGGGCAGCCCAGGCCCCAGCAGCCAGGCCCCUCGCCAGGACCAUGUGGCGAUCAGCGGCAGACCCGCCAGUCUAAGUCCUGGUGAGUGGUGGGCAGGGGGUGUCACCAGAGGGCCAGGGCCAGCACUGAGGCCUCCCUGUUGGACUGCUGGGAUCCCCUCUGCCCGCUCCUGUCAGUCAUCCCCCUUGACCGGCCCCUCUACCUCCUCUGCCCCAUC